CGCCAACAAAUGGCUGCUUGAAACGCCGCCGAUCGGAAGAGAGUGGAGAUGACGAUGGGUAUUAUUGCGUUUGCAAUGCGACAUAUUGCGACGAAGCUCCGGAUGUGAAUAGAACAUCGAAUUCCACGGAAUACGUCUUAAUAACAUCCAGCAAAAGUGGUUUGUUCUUCUACGUAUCAAACGGUGUAUAUGAAAAUGUUAAGGAGACCGACGCUCCUUCACUGGGAAAGAUCACUAUAAAUCGAGCGGACGUAUACCAAGAAAUUUUCGGAUUCGGUGGAGCUGUAACUGAUUCAGCAGCUUUAAAUAUUAAUAAUCUAACGUACGAGACGUCCGAGCACUUGUUAAGAAGCUACUUCG